rnacentral:rRNA from 1 species
UACGGAGGGAGCUAGCGUUGUUCGGAAUUACUGGGCGUAAAGCGCGCGUAGGCGGCUUUGUAAGUUAGAGGUGAAAGCCCGGGGCUCAACUUCGGAAUUGCCUUUAAAACUGCAUCGCUAGAAUCGUGGAGAGGUGAGUGGAAUUCCGAGUGUAGAGGUGAAAUUCGUAGAUAUUCGGAAGAACACCAGUGGCGAAGGCGACUCACUGGACACGUAUUGACGCUGAGGUGCGAAAGCGUGGGGAGCAAACAGG